rnacentral:lncRNA from 1 species
UAAAUUGCACCAACCUGCUAAGAUGCGCUUUGUCAGCAAAAGCAUAUUCUUUGGCAGCUCCAUUGGUCUAGAUUCAUCCCAUAUUGUUGUACGAAUGUCAUCAAGUUCUUUUGCGAGGGCAUCCACAUAUGGCAUACUGGGAAACUGGUCAAGGUAGGGAAUCUCUCUUGAAUAAAAAGGCAUAUGAGACUCGUAAACUAUGGGUCUAAUGGUAGGUGGAGUCUGCAUAUAUGGAGCAUGCUCAUUUGUAGCAUCAUGCUCCCUCAUCAAAUGAGAUUGUUUAUUCUCAUUCUCUUCAGUAAAAUGUGUUUCCUCACCAUCGCGCCCUCAUUAAGGAAGGGUGUAUCAUAUCCAAACUCAUCAGUAUUAUUUUUAUAAUUACUAUUAUCUUCAUGCCUGCAUGUAUCUGCCAAAUCCUGAUUAAAUAUAUUGUCUUUAGGCAAUUGAGUAAAGGCAUGACCAUCAUGUUGCUCGUUUUCACUGCACGACCAAUAAAAUAAUGAGUGUCUCAAAGUCAUCUCAACAUUAUAUAUUAACUUUAUAUCUUAAGUUACAAUUCAUAAUAUGUUGAUAGCUAAUGAUACACAUUAUUGAUGACUCGCAGAUGGACCGGCAUGAUCCAAACUACCAAAAUUGGGAAUAUUUCAAUUGUUGGUUGGUUCAUCACUUAUAAAAUUAAUGUCUGGAUGGUAUUCCCUUUGGAUCAUAUAAGUGUUAGUAUGAAUAUGAUACAAAAUUAUAUUACAAUAAGGAAAAUUGACAUUCACCAUUAAGCGCGUGAAUUACGUAAACUUGGGUCAGAAAUUGUCUCCUCGCUCCUCAUUCUCUCGUGGAGAUAAACUUAUAUCUUGCCACACUCUUUCAAAUGGAACCUGUUUGAAUUAAACUGCUCCAAAAAUACCACAGAUGAGUGAGAGUUAUCCCUAUUUUGUAGAAUCUAAAUAUUGUGGAUGUAUUUAGACUUGAC